CCUGUGUGCUUAUUUAAUGGCAGUGUGUCUGCGAUGCAAUUAUUUUAAUGCACUUCAGUCUGCAAAACUCUUUCUAUGUAGUCAUUUUUUGCAUUUUGUUGCAAUCAGGUUUGCACCCAAUUCCACAGACCUAAGGUUUCAAAGCAAAACAUUCCCAGAGCAUCCCAGUUUCCCUUCUUCCCAUGGAAACUCCUGGGUUCAUCUUUUUCUGAGCGAUGGACAGGCCUCAGCAUGGUACACUGACUGAUCUGCAGUGACGCCCCAUACGCAGCAAACUACAAAACCCCGUGUCUAUCAUAGCCAGCUUCAACUUUUUCAUCGAUUUUCUUGCAUUACACUACAUUUCAAAAAUCUGUUUAAAUACACCAGCAGGUUGUUCUGGGUUUCUACAUGUGUCAAUGGGAAAUGCUUCUCCAGCUCUGGCAACAGGCUAUCCAUUGGCUGACCUGAAAGCUCAGACGGUCGGCUAUUGGCUGGCAGUACAGGCUCAUUUAAAGAGAGAGAUUCUUUCCUGCACAGCUGGUUGUGUUCCUGCAGGAGGCUGCAACUCGGUACUCUACACUUUAUUCUUCUUCUUCCUUUGAUUUGAGAUAAUGAAUAGCUUGUGUUGAGUUGUGCAAAAGAAUGUAAUUUUCUGGCUACAGUGAAUAAUGUUGUGUUGUGAAUCGUUAUAUUAAUGACAAGCACAUUGAUAAGUGCAAAUGGAGGCAGUAAUCAGCACAUAUACAUAUUAAAUAUUGCACUUCAUCUGCUAAUUUGUAUCACCUAUGCUAACUAGGUGAUUGUAUCUGUUGAGUCUUACAUAUAAGAUGAAAAUCCCCCAUAUUGUCUGACUGUUUAGUCUGCAGCACUGUCAGAGUCUAAUACAUGAUCAGUGAUAAACCAGCUAAGAUUGAGGGUAUUAUUUCUUGGUUCCAGUGGAAAACCAGUGUUAUUGGGCUACAAAAAAGGCACAGGCAUUGAUAUUGAUAAAGCUAGAUGAUCACUCUCUCAUUAUUAAUUUCUAGUACCCUUGAUUUACAGUUUUAAAUAUCUACUUUUAAAUGAAAAUGGGUGCUACAUUUACUUACUGUUAAUUGUGAUUGUCUAUAUGCAGUUUUGUCUUCUGUUGUUUUUUUUGUUUUUUUUAAACAGGAUCCAUUCUCCUUAAAUAAGGUUUCCAGCAUCUAUUUUUUUAACCCAAAAAUGACACUGACAGCUUUUAUUCAGAGAAAAGUCCCUCACUUCACAUGACCAACAUAAGAGGCAAUGCAUCUAAUGACCACUUUAUUUAUUUAUGUUUUUUCAUGUCUCAUAAUUUUGGCUCUUGUGCAGCUGCUACAUAAUUAUUCACAUUCAAGAUAAGUGUCACCCAGGAGACAGCUAAAAGUUAAAAAAGAAAAGAAAAAUAAAUAUAUAUGAAUGAAAAAAUAAAAUGAAUACUGCCAAAUACAAUUUAUGGUCCAUGUUCUGAUUGUGUCACAGAAACAUUGAUUCUGAUACUCCACUGUAGCUCAAACCAUACAUGUUGCAUUGUGCAUAACAUGACAAAAAGCACUCAUAUAUCGCUGAGAGAGGAAACAUUGUUAAACAAUGGCAUGAUAUAGUUUCCGGAGGAAAAACACGUGCACAGUUAAGUGAUCAGUAGUGUUUUUCGAAUUUCAUUCUAGCUAAAGAAAUAAAAUGUAGUUCAUGUCACAACAGCAACGCCCAUAACAGAUCAAUUUAUUCAUAACAAUCACAAUUUUUAAAUUAGCAAAUCAAAAAAAAAGAUAAAUAAGAAGUCAUCAAUAUGAAGCAUGUUUUACUUCUCAAUCAUAGGAAUACAUAACAUCCAAGAUAUAAGUUAAUAAAGUCAAGCUAUUUUAUAAAUACAUCACCAGCAUGCACAAUAUUGAAUUAUUGAUAUCAUCGUUAUUUUACACUGACAAAACAGUAUAGUGCAAAAAUAAAUUAACACAGAAGUAAACCACAAACUUUGAAGCUGCAAUAUUUUUCUUAUUUUCUUCUUCUUUUUUUUUUUUUUUUUUUUUUUAAGUUUCUGCCUCUAUUCACGUGUGACCUUUCCAAAAUAGCCUAUGGUUCCAGUAAUGUCAGAAUAUGAUGGCCUUGUUCUGGUGCUGUAUAUUUGAUUAUUUUGUAAGUCAAAACAUUAGAGUAAUAAAUAUAAUAUGCCAUGUUUAUAUUACUGCAGCUGCUAAACACAAA